CCUGCGGAGCCGCCGCGCGGCGUGCGGGGCGCGGGCGCGGGCGCGGACGGGCCGGAGCGGGCGGGCGGCAUGGCGGAGAGCGAGGCCGAGACGCCCAGCACGCCGGGCGAGUUCGAGAGCAAAUACUUCGAGUUCCACGGCGUGCGGCUGCCGCCCUUCUGCCGCGGGAAGAUGGAGGAGAUCGCCAACUUCCCGGUGCGGCCCAGCGACGUGUGGAUCGUCACCUACCCCAAGUCCGGCACGAGCCUGCUGCAGGAGGUGGUGUACCUGGUCAGCCAGGGCGCGGACCCCGACGAGAUCGGCCUCAUGAACAUCGACGAGCAGCUCCCGGUGCUCGAGUACCCGCAGCCCGGCCUGGACAUCCUCAAGGAGCUGACGUCCCCGCGGCUCAUCAAGAGCCACCUCCCCUACCGCUUCCUGCCCUCCGACCUACACGACGGUGACUCCAAGGUCAUCUACAUGGCCCGCAACCCCAAGGACCUGGUAGUGUCCUACUACCAGUUCCACCGCUCCCUGCGCACCAUGAGCUACCGCGGCACCUUCCAGGAGUUCUGCCGGCGCUUCAUGAACGACAAGCUGGGCUACGGGUCCUGGUUUGAGCACGUGCAGGAGUUCUGGGAGCACCGCACCGACUCCAACGUGCUGUUUCUCAAGUACGAAGACAUGCACCGGGACCUGGUCACCAUGGUGGAGCAGCUGGCGCGGUUCCUGGGGGUGGCGUGUGACAAGGCGCAGCUGGAGUCGCUGAUCGAGCACUGCCACCAGCUGGUGGACCAGUGCUGCAACGCCGAGGCCCUGCCCGUGGGCCGGGCACAUUGCCUCUUUGCUCGGAAGACCUGCUUGCGUGCGUGGGGCGCGGGUGGCGGCCGUGGGGCCUAGCUCUGCCCCGGCGCAGCCUCAGUGGCACUGCCCUCCCCCCAGCCCGCCCGCAGGCCGCGUGGGGCUGUGGAAGGACAUCUUCACCGUGUCCAUGAACGAGAAGUUCGACCUGGUGUACAAGCAGAAGAUGGGCAAGUGCGACGUCGCCUUCGACUUCUGCUUGUAGGCGCCGCCUCGCCCCUGCAUGCCCGCCCAUGCUCCGCUCGCCCCCGUGUCCUGUGCGCACCUGUCACUGUGGACACGCUGGCCACUGCCCCGGGUCGCAGGAGGGCCCGGGAGGCGGCGGCGGCCCCCAGCUCUGCUCCCCAGCGGGUGCGGGUGACCCGUGCGCGUGUCUGUGCCCACCGCGAACGCCCGUCUCAGCCCCUCGGCACUGCUGGGACCUCAGCGCUUUGCACCGGAAACCUGAAUAAAUGUCCGUCAACCAAA